GUGAGCAACUUUGUAAAAAAAAAACUUUGCGUGAAAUAGUGUGUUACACCGCCGCCUGUCCGGGUGAAACAUUAAAGAGGCAGGCUUGUUACCUUUUCACUAUAAAUCGCUAUUUCCUCACUAAAUAUAUUUUCAGAGAUUUUCUGUAGACAAGAUGUUAGAAUAAUAAUUUAAUAAAAACCCAAUUCUGACAAAAGUUACAUUUGACUUAUUUAGUUACUUUUCUGAAAAUCUUAUUCCACUGGUAUGCAUCAUAUUAAACAGAAUGCUUUCAAUGUCAGCCAGUAACACAUCAUAUCUUUUUUUUACAGCUCUAACGUUACAGUUUGCUCCACUUUGCUCUGUGGUUUAUAUGUUUUCUUCUUACCAUUGCUUGUAAGCUGGAUUGAGUAAGAUGGAUCAUCUUUAAAGGAACCAGGAGUUAAGGCAGAUGUGGAGGCACACGGGUGACACCAGACACACACCAAGCACAUUAUGUUCGGACAUUCAAUCAUGACAUGAUCCAUGUGGAUGCUGUCCAUUGAGGAAAGAGUUUGUUCAGAGGUUUCUGGACAGAAUUAAUCCCAAAGAUGGGAAAAAGUGCACAUCCACACAAGGAGCAAGCAAAAAGACAAGGAACUUGGUGCAGAGAAAAGCUGUGGCCAUUAACCCCCAUGUGAACAGCUUCAUGCAGUCCCUGAUAGAGUUUGAAUGUGCGACUUCAAACUAAAGGCCAGUGUCAGUCUGCCACAGUUUAAUGCAUUUAUUUUUAGUGUUCAAUAAAAUUCAAAUAGAAUAUUUAAAACUAUGGGCCAGUGUUCUUUUUACCACAGUUAAAUGUUACCUUUUAGUUGG